ensembl:lncRNA
GUCAAUAUGGCACCAGGUGUCUGAGUUUAGAACUUCUCUGGUCUGUUGUCUUUAGAGAUAAAAUUUCUUAUCUGUCUUAGUUACUUUCUUAUUUUUGAGACACAGUAGCUGACAUCCACAACUUAAUGGAGGUGAGGUUUAUUUUGGUUCACAGAUUGUAGAUGUUUCAGUCCAUAGUUGGCUGGCUCCAAGGCAGAAUGGCAUGGCAGAGGGGCAUGGCACAGGAGAAAUGGUUAUGGCAUGGGAGCAGGAAGCAGAGAGAGAUCAAGGGAGAAGGGAGGGAAAUCUACCCUUCCAGGACACACCCCCAGUGACCCAUCAGUGGACUAAUCCACUGUGCAUCACACCUCCCAAAAGCCCGACCUAUGAGCACAUGAGGCUGUAGGGGGACAUCUAGAUAAAAACCAUAAUGUUAUUCUCUGUUGGGGAUAAGGAAAGGAAGUAGUUGGUUGUAUAAUGGGGAAGGGCUCUUUGGCUAACAUGUUUCUUUUAAACACUUUCCUCCCAGUCUCUUAUUUCUAGAACAAUACUACCUGUCUACUUUUAGAAGGACCACAUGUCUCCAAUUUCUGAUCUCUUCCAAGCUUCCACUGCCUGGAUCAACUUGCAUCUUAAUUUCUUCUCCUGCUAUAAGCCUAUGCUGAAGGACAAACUGUACUAUCCCUUCACUGCAAGCAGAGGACUGCGAUUGCAGACCUGGGCAAAUGUGGGUGCAUAACGCUAGGAGGAUACAGGCCUGCAGACAACACCAGAGAGGCAUGCUCCCAUCCCAGCAGGGCAUGAUCAUCUUACCAUGGCUAGGAGGAAGAAAUGGGAAUGCAAAAAAACUUGUUUGUUUUAAAAUCUCCAAGGCUUUUUGCUAGAACCAAGUGUCAACAACAGUGUGCUAUCUGGUCCAAGAGCCUGCCUGAGGCCAUCAUCACCUGGCAGCUUUUUGCUUCCCUGUUUUAAUAUAGAUAAGUUAAAGACUGAUGCCUGACCAAAACAACACUUUUAACAAUUAAAAAUUUAAAUAAAG